GGGCGGCCCGCGGGGAAUUCGAAUAACGCGGAAGAACCCUUUACCCUGGCCCUGGACAGCCCAGGAAUUCUCCUAGNAUGAUUGCGAGUAGUGCCCUUCGGGGAGCCAUGGACACAAGGGUGCUGCAUGGCGUCGUCAGCUUCGUGUCGUGAGAUGUUGGUUAAGUCCCGCAACGNGCGCAACCCUUGUCUCUAGUUACUACAGUUCGUGGCACUCUAGAGAGACUGCCGGUGAUAAACCGGAGGAAGGUGGGGAUGACGUCAAGUNUAUCAUGGCCCUUAUGGCAGGGCUACACACGUGCUACAAUGGACGGUACAGAGGGUUGCCAACCCGCGAGGGGGAGCCAAUCCCACAAAGCCGUUCGUAGUGUGCAGUNUGCACUNGACUGCAUGAGUCGAUCGCUAGUAUCGUAAUCAGAGUGCUGCGGUGAUA
rnacentral:rRNA from 1 species